rnacentral:piRNA from 1 species
UAGCAAGAGCAGAUGCCCGCCA